rnacentral:rRNA from 1 species
CUUUGCUUGUAUUUCACGCAAUGAGAGUGCCCAAUCUUGUCUGAUAUUGGAAGCUAAGAAGUGCUGGCCCUGGUUAGCACUGGAUGUGAAACCACUGGGAAUACCAGAUGUCACAGUGGAGA